rnacentral:rRNA from 1 species
UACGUAGGGUGCGAGCGUUGUCCGGAAUUAUUGGGCGUAAAGAGCUCGUAGGCGGCCUGUCGCGUCGGUUGUGAAAGCCCGGGGCUUAACCCCGGGUCUGCAGUCGAUACGGGCAGGCUAGAGUUCGGUAGGGGAGAUCGGAAUUCCUGGUGUAGCGGUGAAAUGCGCGGAUAUCAGGAGGAACACCGGUGGCGAAGGCGGAUCUCUGGGCCGAUACUGACGCUGAGGAGCGAAAGCGUGGGGAGCGAACAGG